UGGAGCAUAGGUCAGGGGUGGAGCAUCUGCUUUGCAUGCAGAAGUCCUCAGGUUCAAUCUCUGAUGGCAUGUCCAG